rnacentral:lncRNA from 1 species
CUGACAGCAGACCCCCAUCCCAGUGUUAGACUCCUCUGUUUAUAAUUCCAUGUGUUUGUUACCUUACCUGUUUUUUCCCUGCCCCUUCUAGUCCCGUGCCUCCUGAUUGCUGAAUGUUCACCUGGACCUGCCAAUGACCUUCCUUCUGCUACUCCAUCAGCCUACAGACCUGGUACUUGGAUUUUUGUCCAUGGUGAUUCCUUCCACCUUACUACUGAAGAAGACACCAUUCCAGUGGACCACUGUGACCCAAGAAGCAUUCAGCCAUCAUGAUGUGGCCUUUACCUCCACUCCUGUCCUACUCUGCCCAGAUUCAGCACAGCCCUUUAUAGUGCAGUCAAGAGUCUUCAAGCCAAAUAACUGAAGCUAUUUUAUCACAACAAAGGCCAGGUUUAUUCCAUAAAUGUACAGUUCAUUUCUGCAGUUUAUUCUUCAGAGACACAUAGUAAAUUUGGACCAGGGGAUUUUGUUUUGUUUAUAUUGUCAACACUGUCUGAAGAAAGGCAUCUCUGAGAACAGCAUUGGACCCUACUCCACAAUCUCAAAUGAUUGAAGUUUCAUAAACUGCCUAGGAUCCUGUCAAGGCCACUGGACUCUUGUUCUUUUCCUACUUCAAAAUCUGUAGCUGUCUACUAAAUGACAAAGCAGAUAUUCUGACCCAUUGGGAUCAAAACCAAGGCAUUUUGAAUUCCUCAUAGUAUCAUCUUCGGGUUACUCAGGAACCAAAACUUUUCACACCAAUUUAAGAAAUUCUACUGAGGAAUCCCUUUACCUAACCAUCUCACAAGGCUUCAACCAGAUUCCUGAAAAGGCCUCUUGAUAUAUCAAGAUAGAACCUACAUGCAUUUUGUGAACAACUUAUCACUGAUUUUCCAAAGGCUUUGUGCUCUUGAAGUUCUUUGAAGGAAAGCUGUGUGGAAGUCCAGAGUAAAGUGAAGCUGCUCUGGAUGAAGUAGUGAAGUGGGAGUUGAGGUCUACAACCUGCCACAACCAUCUUCCUUUACCACCAUGGUGAUGCCAAAAGGGACUUCCUUAAAGCUCUUCAGAAAAUCCUGCUUGAAACCACUACCCUAGACAACAUGUUUGACCUGGAUGGCAUUCUCUUCAAAACAAUUCAUAUUCAGUUGAUGCUCAACAUGUUUGGAGAUGCUUUAUUCAGAGAAUGAUGAUAAUUACAGCAUUGUCUAAUGAAGUUUUAUUAAUAGCAUUCCAUCCAAGGUGGACUUCCUGGAGUUGGAUAUAACCAGAGAGCAAUUCAUAUGUAUCCUACACUGAAGAACACCAUUAACUUUCAGCAACCUAUAGCUAGUGGUACUAGAAGUACGUGUCUUGGAAGUCUAUGAGAGCUGGUAUUGAAGCUGAUGCCUCCUUAAGGCCAUCUUAGACCAAGUUGUUUGUUUGACCUCUCCUCAUUAACUAUGGAGCAGAAUUGAAAUACAAAUUUUUCCUAAAGGGACUUGCAACCUGGUUAUCAUUCAUUAUCUCAAGUUUCAAGUCAUGUUGAUGCAACCAGUAGUUAUUAAACUGCUCCAUGGUUUUUUGUUAUUUAAUACUUUUUCCAGGGCUUAAAAAAACAAAAUUAAAUUUCUCCAACACGUCUAUACUUGUCUGUUCAAAAGUAACUACUCACCACUAUAUGGAACAGAUGAUUCUGAAGACACUCUGAGCAUCCUUUAUGAUAUUUGUGACUUAAAAUGUGGCUGGAAAUUUUCCUUCUACCCAGUGAAAUAUUUAAUGAUUAGUCUUCAUGCCUGAUACCAUCAACUGUAUAUGCGUGAUAGGCAAAGUUUGACAUAGGCAUUUGACUCUAGGCUAUGAUAGCUUGCUAGUAACUUCAAGUAGCAUAUUGUCAACCUGUUUGCUGGAAAAGUAGAGUAACUUGGAAAAAAAACUAAAUGGCAGCUAAGGAUUUUUUUCAGUAUUCCUGAGUUUCUGUCCUUGGGAUAUUUCAAUGAAAUUUUCACCUGUCUCUUCACUUAACAGAGUGACUGACUCCUUACUAUGAAGUAUUCUUAAGACAUUAAGAUUACUUUUGUAGAAAGGAUAAAAUUCCUGACCAUCCAAAUCAUCAUAGUGAACAAGACUUCAAUUUGUGACCUGAGAAAAUCUCAUUUCUCUACUUCGUAGUCAAUGUAAGGGCCAAUGCUAUCAGCUACUCUGAGUGCACUGGGUAAACGUUGGAACUGCCUUCUUUAUAUCAUUACUUUUUAUCCUCUAAAUUAAUCAUGGUUAUGUAAUUCUCGCCACAAAUCAGCAAAUCAGACUCAGAUCUGGUUAUUCUAGACUGCUCACAGUUAACAAAUCAAACUCUGGAUGACUUCUGCUUGUAUAUGCAACUACUAUUUGUAAAGAAAUUGCAAAUUCACUUUUCUAUUACCUCUACAUUGCUAGCUCUUUCUUUUGUGUUUGUAUUAAAAACAAAAAUAAGCUACACUGCCAGCUAUUCCCUCCUGCCAUACUCAGUUAAAAUGAAGAAUCGGGAAUCUAACCAGUGAAUGGAUAAGUAGAAAAAACUAAAACUUAAGGCAAAAGCCUUAAUCUAGGGCCUUUUCUACUAUCUUCAUGUCUUGGAUUUCAUCUAAAAUCAACAGUGCCACCCAACCAGUCUGAGGUCUUGACUUGCUUUUAAGAUGAUUCUUAGAGAUGGGCUGUAUUACAGAAGGUGAAGACUUGAUUACCAAAGAAAGUAGAGCCAACUUUGACAAACCUGGCUCUACAAUCCUAUUGCUUCCAGAUGUAGCAUAGACUCAUAACUAGAACCUCAAGUCUGCAUUGAGGAUAUAGCCUUCUAAGCUGACAGUUCUUGCAACAGGUGAGCAAGAAAAUGAAAGCUGUUAUACCCAACUGGCCCUUUAAGAUCCAAAAAUAAUGUCUGGACUAAACCCUAUGGAGUACCCAGGACAAAAACUAAUUUACAGAGCUUCAUUAUUAAUCUGCCUGUUCUUCUAGCUUAAUUAUUGGUAUGGCUGGCCCUACUGAAGUAGUUUGUCUGUUUACCUGUCUUCAGCUCUUAACCUGGCUAUUUUGACAUGCUACUGCAAUUAGACUAACUGGCUUUGAGAAGACUACAAUCAGUUUCAGCCUCUCCUUUGCCCAAUUUCACCAAGGAAUUUUGAUAAGAGGAACCCAUACCUCACCCCACCAGAACAGAAAGGACCAUGCUGCAUAUUCCUUGACCAGCAACUUUAAGUAGAGAACAACCCUGCUUGUUUUCAACAUCUGAAACACCAUUUGAUCUAAUAGGAGUAUAGAAGGUUGACAGCAGAGUACACUACUUACUUCUUUCAUAACUCAGAAAUGAAUAUGACUGGCCCAGAAGUUGUAAGUUCACCUUGACAAGAAACAGCAACACCAGAAGUUUACUGCUGAACUUAACUUGCCACUUACUCGAAUAGUCUCACAGACCUGCUUGCCAAGUAGGAGGCUAGUUUUCCUGCUUCAUAUCACCAUUGGAGUGGGGCUCAAUGGGGUCAAUGUUAAUACUGACUUGAAUGGGGACCUUAUGGUGAAUCCUAGACUAUGAGGCUAAUGGAAAUUAUUGUCUAUUCAAGUGGAUUAUAGAUUUCCUGAGGACAGAACAGACAUCACUCCUGGUGAUUUUUAGAACUUGAUUACCAAGGAAGAAAUACCAGCUGCUAACAGUCAACUUCAUGGGCAAAGAUUAAGCUCUCUAUAUCUGGUCGUAUCCUGGAUGCUAGUUUUUUAUUGCCCAGUGACCAUUUCCAUCUCACGCUUAACUUCCUGAUGUUUUUUGGAACCAUCUCUUCCAAUUUUCAGUCCUGGUGAUUUAGACAGUCUUUUCAUGCUGGACAUUUUGUUGCAACCUCAUCAAUCACAGCAAAGUCCAUCUUGACUUUAGUGAUUAGUUCAGGAAUGGAUGCAUGAUUCAAGUUUGUCCAAUGAUAAUCAACCCUAGGUGUUUUCUCAGUUGUGGAGAAGUUCUCUUAGAUGCUUUAGCUUUGUAGGAGAAAACUCAAACCAACAGGGCCUACCUACUAUGUUGAAUGAUUGUAGGAGAAAACUCAAACCAACCAGGCCUACCUACUAUGUUGAAUGAGCCAGGCAGAAAAUGAAGCCAGUACAGAGGGAAAUGGAGCCAAAAGAGGAAGAGACUUGAGUUCUGAUGAUCACAUUUAUGCCCCUGUAUCCAACUGUGCCUGAAGCUAAUAGUACAUCACCUGGACUUUUCAGUUAUGUGAACCAAUAAAUUCCCC